UUUCCGUAGGUGAACCUGCGGAAGGAUCAUUAAUGAGUUGUCAUGGGGUUCGAUGCUGGCAGCCAGUUUUUGGAUGCAUGUGCUUGCCCUAACAAUCAUCUUCUUCCAAACACCUGUGCACAUUUUUGAGGGAGUCUUGAGUUGGUUGCCGCUCUUGGGUGAUUUUCUCACAUUCCCUUAAAUCAUUAUACGCUAUUAACAAUGUUGAACGUGCUCUGUGCGCAAGGCCAUUAAUAUAAUACAACUUUUAACAACGGAUCUCUUGGCUCUC
rnacentral:misc_RNA from 1 species